rnacentral:rRNA from 1 species
UGACCGCUGGCGGCGUGCCUAAUACAUGCACGUCGAGCGAACAGACGAGGAGCUUACUCCUCUGACGUUAGCGGCGGACGGGUGAGUAACACGUGGAUAACCUACCUAUAAGACUGGGAUAACUUCGGGAAACCGGAGCUAAUACCGGAUAACAUGUUGAACCGCAUGGUUCAACAGUGAAAGACGGUCUUGCUGUCACUUAUAGAUGGAUCCGCGUCGCAUUAGCUAGUUGGUAAGGUAACGGCUUACCAAGGCAACGAUGCGUAGCCGACCUGAGAGGGUGAUCGGCCACACUGGAACUGAGACACGGUCCAGACUCCUACGGGAGGCAGCAGUAGGGAAUCUUCCGCAAUGGGCGAAAGCCUGACGGAGCAACGCCGCGUGAGUGAAGAAGGUCUUCGGAUCGUAAAACUCUGUUAUUAGGGAAGAACAAAUGUGUAAGUAACUAUGCACGUCUUGACGGUACCUAAUCAGAAAGCCACGGCUAACUACGUG